AUGCAUGGUGGAUCACGCACGCCGCAGCGCUCCGGCUCGCGCCGGAGGAACACCCCAUCGCCGGCUCGUCGGGGACGAAGCCCGACACGGCGCGGUGGGAGAGAGUUGGUCAUCCACGAGCGGGUGGUCAGAGAUGGCGGCGCGGACGCGAUCCCGAUGCUGACUCAGACGAACUACGUCGAGUGGUCAAUCCUCAUGAAGGUACAUCUUCAGGCUGCACGGCUGUGGGAAGCCGUCGAGAUGGGCGACGCCGAUCACCCUGAUGAUCGUACCGCACUGGGCGUCAUCCUCCGCGGCGUCCCGCCGGAGAUGCUGCGGACGCUGGCGGCAAAGGACUCCGCCAAGGAGGCGUGGGACACCGUCAAGACGCUUCACAUGGGCGUCGAGCGCGUGCGCGAGUCACGGGCUCAGGUGCUGCGCCAUGAUUUCGAAAAUCUCUCCUUCGAGGAGGGAGAGACAGUGGAGGACUUCGCGCUUCGCCUCACCGGCCUGAUCCGCGAUCUUCAGGAACUUGGCGACGACGUCGACGAGAUCAAGGCGGUGAGGAAGUUUCUGCGGGUGGUGCCGCCUCGCUACGCCCAGGUAGCCAUCUCCAUUGAGACUCUUGUUGAUCUCAAAACACUGACAAUUGAGGAGGUGGCCGGCCGUUUUCUUGCCAUCGAGGAGCGCCUCGACCCCGACACCGGCGGCUCCGGCGGCAAGCUGCUCCUCACAAAGGAGGAGUGGCACGAGCGGGAAAGGCAACGGCAAUCAGGCGGAGGCUCGUCCGGCGGUGGAUCCAAAGGCGGCAAGGGGAAACCCAAGCCGAAGCCUCCCACCGGCGCCGGCGGAGGACAACCUCACGGCGGUGCUCCUAAACGCAAGGGGAACUGCUGCAAGUGCGGCAAGUGGGGCCACUGGGCACGCGAGUGCUACGGCAAGCCCAAGAAGGAGCGCCGCGAGGAGACAAACGUGGCGCAAGUCAAAGAGGUCGAGGAGCCGGGGCUGCUCAUGGCGGUGCUCGAUGCACCGGAGGAGAUCACAAUCGCAGCUCCGCAAGCCGUCUUCCUCAACGAGGAAAAAGUGGUGCCCAAGGACGUCGGCGAUGGCUCUUGGUACGCGGACACAGGGGCCAGCAGCCAUAUGACUGGCCGCAAGGAGUUAUUUGCCACGUUGGACGAGACGGUGCGCGGUACUGUCCGCUUCGGAGAUGGAUCAGUCGUCGAGAUAUGCGGCAAAGGAACUGUGUUGUUUGAGUGCCUCACCGGCGAUCAGCGUGUACUCUCGGAGGUAUAUUACAUUCCCCGUCUUCGGAGUAACAUUGUUUCGCUCGGACAGCUAGAUGAGAAGGGCUGCGAGAUCGUCAUCAAGCGCAGUGUUCUCGCGAUCUUCGACCAAGAGGGACGGCUGCUGGCGCGUGUCAAGCGCUCAGCAAACCGUCUGUACAAGCUGAACCUACAGCGUGCUGAGCCGGUGUGCCUGCUGUCCAAAGGAGGCGACCUGGCCUGGCUGUGGCAUGCACGUUUUGGGCACCUCCACUUCCGUGCAUUGUGUGCCAUGGCAAGGAAGAAGAUGGUGCGUGGGAUUCCUGAUGUGGAUCACGUUGGGGAGUAUUGUGAUGGCUGCAUGCUCGGGAAACAACACCGACUACCCUUCCCGCAGGCUGCAACAUAUCGUGCAAAGGCGUCCCUGGAGCUCGUACACUCGGAUUUGUGCGGUCCGAUCUCUCCGCCAACACCGGGAGGUAGAAAUUAUUUCUUGUUAAUUGUGGAUGAUUACUCUCGGUACAUGUGGAUUGAGGUACUCAGGACAAAGAGCGAGGCUUUUGCUUUCUUCAAAAAGGUGAAAGCGGCAGCAGAGACCAGGAGCGGCUGCAAGCUGCUCGCAUUCCGCUCGGAUCGCGGCGGGGAGUUCAACUCCACGGCGUUCGUCGAGUACUGCAACGAGCUCGCCAUCAAGCACUUCACGACCGCCCCGUACACGCCGCAACAAAACGGGGUUGUCGAGCGCCGUAAUCAAACGGUGGUGGAGAUGGCGAGGUGCAUGCUGAAGAGAAUGGGCGUGCCCGCGGUCUUCUGGGGAGAGGCCGUCAAGGCGGCCGUCUAUGUCCUCAACCGAUCGCCGACGCGGAGCCUCGACGGGGUGACUCCGUACGAGCUGUGGCAUGGCAAGAAGCCGAGUGUGGCUCACCUGCGCACCUUUCGGGUGUCACGCGCACGUGAAGAAGCUCGGACCCGGGAUCAACAAGCUGGCCGACAGAUCGACGCCCGGCGUCAUGAUGGGAUAUGA
rnacentral:rRNA from 1 species